ensembl:lncRNA
CUUUUCCGCUGUCUCUCCUACUACUGAGCUCUCGCCUGAACUCGCGGAACAGUGACCUUCUCCGAGUGGUCCAGCACACUUAUAUACUAGAGAUGGCAGGUGGUGCAUUCGCUGGCUGGUGGACUAAGGUGGCCCCCUACUACACCAAAGCAUACCAGGAGAUGUGGGUUGGUGUAGGAAUCAUGACUUUCAUGUACUACAAACUUUCAUAUGGAGGUGAGAAGUCAAGUUUGUAGAAGAGCUCUUUAGUAGUGUGCAUACUGUCAAAAUAUCAUAAACCCUUAUUUAUUUAUUUUGUGGUUCAUAUUAUAACAAUGUACUUCGUAAACAUUGUUCUUGUCAUUAAAUUAUUAAUUUGUAUGUUAUCUUAUGUAUCUUCUAAGCAUAGCCCAUGCUCAUAGACAGUUUUGUUACACAAUAUUUGUAGAAACUUCUAGUGUCCUGUUCAAGGUAAGAGACUUGAUUUUAAGAGCUUGUUUAUGUUCUCAUUAAAUAUUAACAAUAAUAUUGCUGUUUGCAGGAAAGAAGAAAGCAGUGCAGUCAAGUAAGUAUAAGCAGGUUUAAAUUUUUUUUUUUAAAUGUCUACAGGGUGUCUGCGGGUCCUUAAAAAAAUCUUAAAUUAGGCCUUUAGGCCCUGUUUACACUAGUGCGUUUUCGUUUUUGAAUGAAAACGAUCCUUGUCUACACUGACUGUUUCAGAAACGAUCUCCGUUUACACUACACAACCUAAAACAUGUCACGUGACCAUUCAUGCAGGUACAGCCAUAGAUAUGAAUAGGUAGAUUCCCUAUUAUUUAAAUCGCGGAUGGGUCUACGUGCUUCGAGGGUCGAAAACACCGGAGUAUUAUAAAUGAUAGGUGUAAUCGUAGCUAAAGUUCUAGUGUAAGCCUUAAAUUCAGAUUCGAUUGGUCUUAAAUAUUUUUGGUCACAUUACCGCUAAAAUUUUACGUUUACAAUCAUUGGACAGACCAAAUAUUUUUUUUUCCCUCGCAGUAGCAAAAUACAAGUCGAACUACCUUCUUAAUAUUCUCAAUAAUAAUAAUAAUAAUUAUAAUAAUAAUAAUUAAUUAAUAAAUAAAUGAAAACAAAGGAAUCAUCGAAACGCGAGAAUGAAUCGUCUAAUUUUAUUAGCCUACAUUCAGUGUAAAUGGCCCUUAAUAACGGAAGGUGUGUUUCUGGUAUCAAGGUCACGCUGUCGAGGCUCGCUCUGUUUGUGUUAUUAUGAGAGACUUCAGAAUGAGCUUAACAGCACACAGAAAGUAACUCAGAAGAAACACACUGAGGUGAAAAUUCAAAAUGUUUAGUUUAUUCAUAACAUGAUAUAGUUAAGUAACAUACCGUGACAAGUGAGCUUUUUUGCUAAAUAUUCUUUCGACGCAAAAAAGAUUCAAAACAUCUACAGAGUGCACGCAUUACGUGAAGUCUAGUGCGCGUGCGCAUUUACAGUGCAUGAUUCAGUCUAUUAAAAUACAUUCAGAAUGAUCACAAAUUCAAGACAAUUAGGGCAGAAAAUGUAUAUAUUUAUACCACUUCGUAUAGUUAAUCAAUUUCACAUGAAGAGUCCGUUUUUUUCUCUCCAAAAAUUACCAUUAUUACAAAUGUGAUGGGGUUUUUUUAACAGUUGAAUAAACUAGAAUGUAAUUAAGAGACUUACGGUUUAGACACCAUAUUGCCUAUUUUUGCACUAUUUCGACAACAAAAAUAAUUCCAAACAAAGCCACAGCGCUGUUUUGCGUCUCUGAGCAACAUGCCGGUGUUUCGUUCCUGAAUGAAUCAACUGUUUAAAUGAUUCAGUUCAAUAGCAAUGACUCGCUCAUUAACAGUGACUUGCUGCCACCCACUGGCGCUUUUAAUUUCACAUUUAAAGUACCUUUUUAUUAUUUAAAUAAAAUCAAAUACCAGUAUUCAACGUUUUAUGUUUAAUGUGUAAAAACAUUAUUUAUGCAUUUGUAAAAAUAGGCCUUUAUAAAGGUAAAUAAAAAUAUGCAGAUUUAAGUAUGUAAAAGCUGAUAGAACACUGAUGAAAAUAUUGCUUCAGAAUAAAUUGUUUCCACCACCAAAAAUCUUGAUGCGGUGCUUUUGUGGGGAUAUUUUGCAUGGAAUAUUGUCUUCUGAUAUGAAAAGUUCACUGUAUAUCUUAGUUAUAAAUAUAAUUUAUUACAGUGAUAUUUUGUUUUCUUUUUAUGUUAAACACAUUAAAUAUUACAUAUAUGUAUUUAAUAUAAUGUGUAUAUCCAUUACAGGUUUAGGUCUUAAAUUUCAUAUAAGGUGGUAUUAAAAAGGUCUUAAAAAGUCUUAAAUUUAACAUCUUCAUGUCUGUAGAAACCCUGGUCUGGGAGAGAGGCUUUCAGACUUUGCUCCACAUGGGAGUUUUAGGUGUUAGGUAGAAAAACAUUUAGAGAAAACAGGUUAAAAAAUGUACAAAAUAAAACACAAAAAUAAGAUUCAUAAAUUCAUUAUAGAUGUAUAAGUAUUAUAGUGAGAAGGAAAAAAUUAAGCAACUAAAUAUUUUCCAAAUAAUAUAUUACAUAUUUGUAAUAACUUUUCACAGUAUACAGUACAUGCUGUAAAACAGGUCAUGUCACUUCCGGAUCAGGUCUUUUGCAUGUCCUUCAUUAAAUAUGGAGCUGUUUUACUCUAGAUUUCUUGGUUUGAUCAGGUGAUGUUCGACACAUACCCCAGUGGGUCUUUAUACAUGAAAGUAUAUAGCUGUUUUUUAAAAUUUAGGAUGGGGUUCUCUUGCACAAGUAUGAUCAUAUUUAGAGUAUCUUAAAAAUUGAAAAACCCUGGUCUAAAAGAUAGUUUGAGGCUCUGUUAAAAAUGCUUAUUUAUGGGAUAUAUAAAAAUCUUUCUGUAUCUAAUGUGACUUUCCUUUUCUCACAGAGCCUGCCCACUGAUUGGACCACCGGCUCGUCAUACCCCAUGUCCUCUCUGUACAUCUUCCUCUGAAGAACUUCCCCUGGAUAUCUGUAUUUUGCUUCAUGUAAACAAUAAACCGCUUGAUUUGGAUCACACUAUGGACAAUUCACUGCUUUGUGGUCUUUCACUCUGUCUUGCAAGAAAUUCAUAUCAGCAAACAUGAAACUGUUUCAUUGUUAACUUAUGGAAUAAAACUAUUAAAGAAGUCUAAAGUUUUAAUGGCUUUAGGACUUGAAUAGCAUGCAUUUGUUUGAAGGACAUAAAUAGUUUUCACAAAUAGUGUUCUUAAUGAUUUUCGUUUAAUGUGUUAUAAGAACACUGAUUUUGUUUUUGCAUUUUAGACAUGUUAUGUCAUGUUUAGUUAAUGAUAUGUAGUUCAUGUUAUUGAUCAGUAGUGGGUGUUGAAGGAUUAUCCAGCACAGCUUCAAAACAAAUGAGAAGUCCUUUAACCGUUUCUCAAAUACCUAAAAAAUACAUUUUGAAAUGAUACAAUACAUUGUAUAUUAAUUACUGGAAACUACUGAGUGAAAGUGUCGAACAUCUGCAAUAUAAGAGAGUAUAUUUCAUGUUGCCAUGUUGAACACCUGAAAGUAAA